UGAAACUUCAAGAACUUCAAGGGUAAAUAGC
rnacentral:piRNA from 1 species